AGAGUUUGAUCAUGGCUCAGGAUGAACGCUGGCGGCGUGCCUAAUACAUGCAAGUCGAACGAGAUGCUUUUGUAGCAAUACGAGAGUAUUCUAGUGGCGAACGGGUGAGUAACGCGUUGGUGACCUACCCCAAAGUGUGGGAUAACAGUCCGAAAGGAUUGCUAAUACCGCAUGUGGUCUUCGGAUUUAGAAACUGAUGACUAAAGGAGCAAUUCGCUUUGGGAGGGACCUGCGUCCCAUCAGCUAGUUGGUGAGGUAAUGGCUCACCAAGGCGACGACGGGUAGGGGACCUGAGAGGGUGGCCCCCCACAAUGGAACUGAAACACGGUCCAUACACCUACGGGUGGCAGCAGUAGGGAAUAUUGCUCAAUGGGCGAAAGCCUGAAGCAGCAACGCCGCGUGUGCGAUGAAGGCCUUCGGGUCGUAAAGCACUUUUCUGAGAGAUGAGAAAGGACAGUAUCUCAGGAAUAAGUCUCGGCUAACUACGUGCCAGCAGCCGCGGUAAUUC
rnacentral:rRNA from 1 species